UCUACGGGGAGCAGCAGUGGGGAAUAUUGCACAAUGGGGGAAACCCUGAUGCAGCGACGCCGCGUGAGUGAAGAAGUAUUUCGGUAUGUAAAGCUCUAUCAGCAGGGAAGAAAAAAGACGGUACCUGCCUAAGAAGCCCCGGCUAACUACGUGCCAGAAGCCGCGGUAAUAAGAAGGUGGCAAGCGUUAGCCGGAUUUACUGGGUGUAAAGGGAGCGUAGACGGGGCGGCAAGUCUGAAGUGAAAGGCAGGGGCUUAACCCCUGAACUGCUUUGGAAACUGCCAUGCUAGUGUGCUGGAGAGGUAAGUGGAAUUCCUAGUGUAGCGGUGAAAUGCGUAGAUAUUAGGAGGAACACCAGUGGCGAAGGCGGCUUACUGGACUGUAAAUGACGCUGAGGCUCGAAAGCGUGGGGAGCAAACAGGAUUAGAUACCCCAGUAGUC
rnacentral:rRNA from 1 species